GAGACCUCAGGUCAGGCGGGACUACCCGCUGAAUUUAAGCAUAUCAAUAAGCGGAGGAAAAGAACUAACAAGGA
rnacentral:rRNA from 1 species